CUCUUUUUCUCUGCCUUUCCCUUUCAGCCCCUCAUUUCAGUCUGCAGGCAUCCUCCUCUGAGGUCACAGCAGCUGCAGAAAAGGUAAAAUUGAAAGCAAUGGAAAUGUAGGAUUCUUCAGAUGAACACUUGAUUUUAAAGAUUCUGAUGCAUGUUCACUUAUAUGUGUGCGUUUGAGUGUGUGUGUGUGUGUGUGUGUGUGUGUGUGUGUGUGUGUGUGUGUGUGUGUGUGUGUGUGUGUGUGUGUGUAUGACUAAGUGAGGAAGAGCGUAUUAUAAGAAGAGACGGAUACAGAAGCAGGCAGAUUGCCAUCUGGUCCUGUUGAAAAUCAGUCAAACCAAAUGCAGAUUGUUGAUCUGUAAACUGAUAUAAUCUGGUAAAGAGAUUUCAUGACCUGCUUUAAAGUCCAUUUCUAAGAGGCCUUGAGUACGCCUUGAUGUGUGUUUGGUUAGCUUAGUCACAGUUUGAAGCAACUAUUUUUGCAACAACUUUAAACUGUUUUAAAGACACAAUAUGAUAUUUUACUCACAAACGUAUUACUUAAAAUGAGAAAAUCUCUCAGAAGAUAACUGCUGCUUUCAUAUUCAGCCUUUUAUUUUUCAGAUGGAUAAUUUACACGUUUAAUUUACCUGAAGAUCCAAAGUCCAAAAUGACAAAUACAAUAACUAUUUUUAUUUUGUAAUUUUAAUGCUGGAACGGUGUCAAAGGAGCAGCCAAAGAAACCGCCCUAUUUUUGCAUUUUCCACAUAAAAUAUUCACAGUAUUAUUUAUGUGUAGAUGAAAGAUUAGCAAAGACUGCUUUGUUGACAGGGAGUGCAAGAUUGACUAACUGGAAGUUCCUCUCUGGAAUGCCCAAUCUGCCAAAUACGGGUGAUAGUCAUCUGCAUAAAACACUGAAUGUUAGAUCAUUGUAGCCUUUAGUGUGUCAUAGUGAAGGACAAUCAAGGCCAAUCGAAAUGUGGUCAAAUUCUGAAGAGCUUUGGUAACAACAUCCCUGCCUUAGAUCUGCCACAACAGGCUGAAUAAAGAGAAAUGUUGGCAAGACAUGGCAGAUGCUCCUCAGUACCCUGAUAACUGUUGUUAGCAUUAGUAAGGACUUAUCUGAGCAUUGUUUAACCCAGCCCCUCUUUUUUCCAGCGUCUUAACAUUUGUUGUGAUGAUCAGUCAGUUACCAUCAUUCAGUGUUUUAUAUCUGCCAAUCAAGUCAUGGCAUGAAUUUAUGGCUUUGUAAUUGCCUGAUUUGACACAGAAACCAAUGUCACAGACAAAAACCUUGCGCAGUCUGACCUUCCCGUUAACAAUGACAAUAAAUGUGUAUUUUGAUUUGCAAAAGUCAGUCCCACAGCUCCACUUAGCACAACAUGUCAGUGCCUGUCCUUCAGAAGUUUCAAGGAUUGUUCGAAGGAUUUAUCCAUAAUGACUGUCUUCGACUGACUCAAGCUCUUGAGUGACUCAGCUUGGUUAAACUUCACCGCUGUUGUAUAUCAAAUAAAGCAAAACAUAUUUAAUUGUCUAAACAGGUCACACAUAAAAUCAUAUCAUUUUCAGUGCUCUGAGCAUUGGAAAUGGGUUUCAUUCACAUCCAUUACAUAUUGCAAAUGCAACCAAAACUCUUAAUUGCUAAACACCUCUUCAGUUAAGAGAGGAAAUAAAAAAGUUAAAUCCUUUACCUUAAGCUGUUCUGCCUGACAAAAACAUUGUUUAACUGAGCGUAAUGCGGCAACUUCUACAAAUCUGGUAUUCCAAGCAGGUGGAAAAAGGAAUGACAAAUAGGAGUGCCAUGAGAGCCAAGUGGAGCCAGGACCUAAGAUAGUGCAAACAAUACCCUAAGCAAGGUUAAAUUGCCAACAUACUGCACAGAACAUAAUGUAUAGUUUAAGAUAAGAGAGAUAUGAAGGAAAAUACCAGCAAGGGGAGAAUAAUGCAGCUCUGAAAGAUUAAACAGACAAUAAUUGGUCAAAAACCGGUUCGGAAGAAUGUGGGGAAAAUCUUAUCACAGCACAGAAUACUGUGGAACCGAUGAUGUUCACAGUUACAGCUAAGUUUAGUUAUGCAAGAAGAGAAACAGUUUGAUUGGCACUUCCACCGACUCAGCAACAUCUAUUUUAGUGAUACUGUGUGAGUGUGGGUGCAUGUGUGCGUACACAUUCCCAUAUUCUCAGCCAGCACAAGGUGCCCUUGAUUGAGUAAUCGUUUUGUACCACGGUUAUGUGUGUGUGUGUGUGUGUGUGUGUGUGUGUGUGUGUGUGUGUGUGUGUGUGUGUGUGUGUGUGUGUGUGUGUGUGUGUGUGUGUGUGUGUGUGUGUGUGUGUGUGUGUGUGCAUUUAUUCCCUGCCACCAUCUGUCCUCUAUAGGCUGUUGAUCAUCCAUCUCCCCAUUAACUGUCAAUCACUCUGUUCCCUGUCGACUUCUCUGCUCUCGCUAUCUCAGCUGCAAAGCUUUAACACCCCACCAUUACAGAGAAACGAUGCAUCGCAACAUAUUAAGUCUGAUCCCUGUAGUCGACCAAUUUUGUGAUACUGUAUCUUCAUGUGAUUAUACCCAAAAUGAUUGGAUCAAAAAUAACUUGUCAUUUCAGUGUUUGAGGCCAAGCAUGAGAACUGAAGAUUUGUUUGAGUAAAGUUGCAGAAAAAAAGUUUUUUAGGUCUUUUUGACAUUGAGGGGGGGACGAUAGUGAGCUGACUCUUUACUGGUUGGUAUGUCAAAGUAUCAUCUGCAAAAGGAUGAACUCUUUAAGGUGUUUACUACAAUAAUUCCCCCCCCAAAAAAAGUACUUGUAAGGAAAAACAUUGUGGUCCUUGCAGCAAUCCUUGUGGAACUUCAUAACUAACUUUAGUUUGGGUUAACAAUUAAACAGUCAAGGUCAGUGUUACAGUCUAAAAUUUAGGAUACGUUUUGAACCAAUUUUUAAAUGAACUGAAAUUUUGUUAUAAUAAAUAAAUGUCAGGGUAAUAAAUACUCGUAUUUUAAAUGAAUGGUUCAUCUAAGGUCAUGAAAUGAUCAGAGGUCAAAUCCUGUGUGAAUGGAGCUAAAGUCUUAUAAAUUUCUCACCAAAGAAGAAAGACUUUGACUUUGUAUGUGCUUGUACUUAAGCUGCAGAGCUUUGAGUGUGAGAGUGGAAGGAUCCCCAGACACUCAUGUGGUUGAUGAAUAUCUGACAAACUCUGAAAUCCGACAAUGCUCAUUUACCGACAGUGGUGAGUGACUGGCUCCCUUGCUGGUAAGGGAGUGAUGAAAUCCAAAUGUCCAAAUUUUCAUAUAGAUGAUUUUGAUAAGUAUAAAACAGUUACUCAAGCAAAAAUAUAAAAUGAAACUUAAAAUUCACUGAUAGUCUUUGGGUUUGAAAAUGUAAUCAUCUUGUGACAAGAGAAAAUUUUCUAAUGAAAUCCGGUCUCAACAUGUACCAUGAAGAAGAUCCAUAAUUAGACGGUGGAAAAAAACUGAUUUUCAACUUUGCUGUUGAAAAUCUUCUCAACAGCAAACACAGAAGCCUUUUUCAAUUUUAUUUAACAUUAAAUUUUUUUUUGUUUUUAUGUCUUUAUUUGGAGAGUAUAGGACAGGGACUACAGCAAGAAACAGUGUGGGGAAUGGGGAAAGUGCCACAGGCUAAACAAGAACCCACUUGAGGACUAUAGCCACUGUCCAUUGGGCCCACAACUUCACAACUUGGCCAAACCAGCACCCCACUGGGCUUACCUAACACAAUCAACUUUAUUUAGCUCUGUCUCUUCCUCUCUCAGUCUCCUCUAUUCCCCCACUUUCUCCCCCCUGAAAAAAUUAUAUUUGGUUCUUGUAAAAUAUUCAUGUCUCUGUCACAGCGCUGGAACCAUGAAUCAUACAUCUGAAAAACUGGGGGAAUCGAGAGAGGGAAAGGGAAGAGAAGGAAUGAGAUGGAUACAAAUGUAAUAACGGAAGGAGAUAGUGAGCAAGGGAUGGGAAGAGGGAGGAGAAGAGGACAUGUCAUAUAUUAGGAGCCAGAGGUGUAAAGGGCAGAGAGAGAGAAAAGCAGAUGGAUGACUGGAAAGCAAGGUUAUAGGGAGAAGGACAGGUUAUGAAUGUUACAGUUGUUAAUAAGAUAAGAGAAGCAGUAGGGGUUGAGGAUGGGGGAAGAGAAUUGGAGAAGGAUGGGAAACAUGCUUUCAAAUGAGAGCAGCACAAACAUUGUGAUGUGAACUGAAAUGAACCAGGACAAAAACAAUUUGUGAAAAAAAUCAGUCCUGGUUGACUCCCUGAAAUUGGAUGUUUUUCGAGGUAUGAGCUCCUAAUUUUUGAGAGAAAAAAUAGAGGAAGCACAGACUCCAUUAGUUAUCAAAUACUACCGGCAAAUUGUAUUGGACUCUAUCUAAUAAUUACUAAGACCCUGUGAAUUUCCCAUUAAUGGAAGGUACCAUUCACUGUGUACAUAAUGGAUACUGUUAAAGACUUGGGUAAUAUCUGGAAGCACUAUGGUCAGUGGCAACAAGAGCUAUGUUUCAGGAUUGUUAUUCUUUAGAUGUGUGAGUGAGUUUUUGUCUCUGCAUGUAAUCCAGAGAAACAAUCCAGAUGUAAUCACAGUGAAACUUGGUGGCAUCUAAGGCUUUAUUUUUUUUAGCAGGUGUCAUAAAGCAUGGCUGUGAUGGUGCCCUCAUCUUCUGGCAUCCCUAGAUCAGCCACAUACCCAGCGCUUUGUCAUAAUGCUAGGAGACAAGUGAAGUGGGUGCAAAUGCUAUUUACACAACAUUGGAGCUUGAUGUGGAAUUGACCAUUGCAUAAGGUAGACAAAAGAAAUAUCAGUCUACCAAACAAAAAGGUUUACAUUGAGUAUACAACAGGGCCCACAGUGGUCUGUAUGUGCAAUUUCAGUGGCACAAUGGAGGGACGUAAGUUAGGAGUUACAAGUAGAAAGUUUUACAUUGACUGUGUAAAUAGUAACACCCCUGAUUGCAGGUGCAUUUAACACUUGGUUUCAUUAUUGUUUCAUUUUUGUUACUAUUUUUUUUUACCCAAAACACUCCUCCAAAUAACCAAGAGACUUGAUCCAUUCUGGCUAUGUACAGUACUACACCUCAUGUUGCACCCAGUUUGUGCACUGCUUAACUAGCAACAAGAGUAUUGUAUGUUUUGUAUGUCUGUACCUUUGUUAAAAGGCACCGUAUCUUGGCCAAGAAACCAUUUUCAAAGGGAGACUGUUUAUCUCAAUUAAAUUUUUCAAUCAAAAUUAAAUUUAAACUACUUAAAUACCAACAGAAUUAUUUUCGAGGUUAACACUGACCCAAUUCAUAAAAUAUAUAUAUAUUGAUAUUUUUGUUCAUGGGGUCCAAUUACUGGGAUGGGCCCAGCCCCCUUGAAUCUGCUCUUAGCCCUGGGCCAGCAUAGACAUAUUUACAGUAGCAGAGAAGUUUUUUAGUUUUUUUUCCAAACACGGAUCAUCACAUUUACAGUCGGUAUAGUGGGACUUGAAUACUUCCAUGAGAGGUUUUCAAAAGGAACAACACUUCUCUGUUGAUAUUAAAAGAAUGAGCAGAAACAUGUGAUUUUAACUCCUGUCCAAAAAUGACAACAAAAAAAGAAAGAGGGUAAAUCUUUCCAUCAGGAGCUGGAGGAUUAUUGUUCAGCUAGAUAAGUGAGUGAAUCCAUGGUGCUAAUAAGUACUUUCCCAAACUGAUCAGGAGGAUGUCUAGAUAAUUCUACCACAUUACGUACAAUAGAGAUAUAGAGGAUCUGCUGCUUGCGCUGGCCUUAAAGAUGGAAAUUAACUUUGAAACAACAAAGACAGCAAUGAUUUGCCUCAAGGCUUCUGAGUUACUUGAGUUAUUACAUGAAUCGUUUCAGCUCUAUGGGCCGGCAUAUGGAUAACAUUCUGCAAUACCCGCUAAGUAUGCUAAAAGCUAACAAACAUGGAGAAUAAUUCUGGACUCAGAUUACAGAUUUGACAAAUGUUAUCACAAAAAGUUCAAAUAAUUAAAAUCAAGUCUCACGGAUUAUCACUUUAUGAACCAUAAAAAAGGUGAGACAUAAAAAUGCAUGUUGUAAAGAAAACACCUUUUUUACAUGUCAGAAAAUCUAGGGGCCAAAUCUGAUUCAUUUCAAUCCAAAUUGUGUCCUACUAUUGUGAUAAAAUGUGUUAUUCUGAAGCUUGAAACACUAAUGAGUAAAUCUGGGUCACAUUAGAUCAGAUAAGAUGCUCAAAUGUACUGCCUGCACCACCUCCUGUUCAAACACACAAGCUGUGCUCCACCAUGAGGAUGAUAGGUGUGAAGUUUACAAAAAGAGAGGCAUUACUCGCUUCAUCUAUAAAGACGCAGUUUAUCAAAGAAAAGGAUGUCAAUGAUGUUUAAUUUAAUUGCAACAAAGACUUGAAGGGGUUUUUUCUCUUUACGCGAAGACGUAACAUCAAGAAUGAACGAUUUUGAGGGUAGAAAACAGUGUCUCCCACGGUAACAUUAUUCAUCUAAUCAAACAUGAAAGGAUGUCAUGUGGCUAAACAGCUCUUGUCACUCCUACUUGUAGCCACUGCACGUGUGUGCUGAAAGUGAAUAGAGGAUAAGACAGGAGGCAGAGGAGGGAGAGCAAAGAGAGAACGUUCCCAAAAUACACCAUGGACGAAAAUAUGAUCGUACCCAUACACACACAUUUAGUGCAGACUGGGGUAUAGAAGUGCUUAUAGGCAGAUGUUGAGAACGCCAAACAUGCGAAAAAGCAUGAGCCAGCAUUUUCUGUUUCCAGAGAAAAUUUGUUGGUGAUAAAAAAUUCAGUAUAGGAGCAAAUUGUUGGCCAAGUGACAGCGAAACUGAGAUCCAGAGGAAGCGAGUAUCCCUCAAGUGUUACAAAAGACCUGUGUAAGCUCUCUGCAGUCAGAGCGAGAAAGUGGGGAGAGACAGGAAAAGAAGGCCAGGUGAAAUAGGGUCAGCGCUCUUCCUCAACUGAAUCUUAUGAGGGUUGAUUAUCUGCAGCCCUCACACACAUACACACACACACUCUUUCUUGCAGAGGGUGCGUCUGCAUAUGUAUGUUUCCCUCCUCUCUCUUCCUCUGUUGUGUUAUUCGUGCUGACACACUGUAGCUACUGGCUAUGUGCUUACCCCGUCCUCUUUCCAACUCUUUAGCUGAGGCAGAUCACAGACACUGCUAACAAACACACGGGUACAUAACCAACAUUUAACAUAUCUGUCCCCAGAGCGAGGUUAAAGGCAUAGUAUUAUCCGAUAGAGCAUUGUUCCAUGUCCUCAUGGUGUUUAAUGUAAAUAUGUAUAGCAGUCUGUCUGCUUUAGUUUAGCCUUUGGCUAUCUGGCACAUAAGUAUGAAUACACAGAUCGCUUAUUCUAUGGAAAAAAAAGGGGGCUGUACAGUCUGUUCACAUUAGUCUGAGGGGUUAAGCUGUAAGCCACGGAGCAUGUAUAGAGCUAAUACUACAUCUGUGAAUAGACCCACAUGAGCCAAGAGAUCUACAAAUGAAGACCCAUGAUUGCAAAGGUCAAUAAAUGAUUGUGCAUUCAUUUUUUUUAUUUUUUUUUAAGUACAUACAGAUUUAUACACAGAUCUGCAAAUGCACCUACAGAGCCCACAAAUGUGCAAACAGGUCUGCAAAUAUACAUGCAAAGUCACAAAUGUGCUUGCAGGUUUGUAACCAGAAUAACAUUUGUGUAACAAUAUCUGCAAAUGUCUAUGUCUGAAAUGUCUGAAAUAUUCACAAACACAUGUGCAGAUCCACAAAUUCAUAGAUUUAAACACAGAUAUGCCAUUGCAUGCACGGAUCCUUCAAUGCACUUGCAGUUUAGAAAAUAUGUAAAUGAAUUAGUAAGUUCAUACAAAGAAAGUGAUGACCAAAUAACCUGUGUUUUUGUUACAUUCUUGGCUCCGAAUUUGAAAAAAGCUCCUAAAAAGCUUUUUUAUCCUUUUGAAAUUCCAAAACACACAGACUUGCAUUCUUAAAAUAACCUCUGUCACACUGAUACAGGAGAAAAUUUUUAUGUCUUACUGAGAAUUAUCAAUAAAUAACAUGUUUUUCCUUUGCUUCCCAUCAAAGCUCACGUCUGCAUCAGUUUUCUGAUGGGCAGACGGCAGGGUUUUGAGCAGACGUAUGAAGCCCUCUGCUUUGUUCUCUGUCUCCACCCUGCUGCGGCAGUACCUGGUUGGUGAUCUGAUUUGCAUUGCAAAAGAGGAAAUGCAAAGAAAAACAUGAAAGGUAGCAGACUUUUCAUGCAUUAUAUUAUAGUUUAAAAAAUAAAGCAAUUUGAUGCCAUAUAAACAUCAAUUUAUACAGUAUUUUUCCAGUUGUAAUCUUUGUUCUAUGUUCUUUCAUUCAACAUACAGUUUUUGACAGUAUCUAUAGGUUAAACUGAUGUGUGUUCCUAUCGUACACAGGUUAUAAUGCUGCAGUAGGCAAUCAUGGAAGCUUGGAGCAAGCAUACUUUACAGCAGGAAAGAAGUCACUGGAAUGGAGUGUGAAGAUUGUGCUCUAGUACUUGUUAGCAGCAGAACUCCAAGCCUCCUCUGCACUGAGUGCCCGGGGCAGCUCCUCUAUCCCUGUGUUCCCACAAUCAGCACCAUGGACAGAGUCGUGACACAAUCCAGUGCAGAAUGUUACAAAAGAUAUAGUUCAGCUGGGCAGGGAAGCAGAUUUACAUUAUGUGACACAGUGUGUGGCUCCAGAGUAUGUAGCUGAACUAAUCUACCCUCACUCAUCAUUUCCCUGCUUCAUGUAUAACACACCAAACUGAACUCAGAAGCUCACUUUCUCAAAGUUUGCUGACUGGGUUGAAAACUUUAAACGGUGAAUAAAACUGGACUCACUGCCCAGCAACAUAACAGGAUCAUGCAGAGGCAGCAGCAUAAGCGGAUAGCUGUUAAUUAACUGGUUAGCUUCCAAAACAUGGCAUUGCCUGAUGCUAAAAGGUAUUAUUUUCACCCUGAGAUGAACCACAAUUUCUUGUCAGCUCUAAAUAUUAAAUGAAGCUGUAUUGGAUGUAAUACAAGAGUGUCCAUGCAAAAUGGAGGGCAGUUGGAACUGUAUUUUAGACAAUGCACUAAUGCCACAAGGCAAAUUUCCAUGCCUGAACAGCUCUAUGAACUCAAAGUCUGAGAGCAGGAGUACCAGUCAACAGCACAGCAGUCAGUUUUCCCCUUGCCUAACACCAUGGAUGUAAUGAUAAUGAUAAUACUGCAUCAGAUUUCAAAUAGCACUUUAUCAGAGACCCUCAAAGUGCUUUACAUUAGAUACAUCAUUCAUUCGCUCACACAGUCACACCUUGGUGGUGGUAAACUACCUUACCAGUCACAGCUGCCGUGGGGCAGACUGACGAAAACGUGGCUGCCAGUUUGCGCAUGUGGCCUCUCCAACCACCACCACACAACAGUCACAUUCAUACACCACUGGAGGACACACACUGGGAGCAAGGUGGGUUAAGUGUUUUGCCCAAGGACACAAUCGGGAUAGGGGAGAAUCGAACCUCCAACCUCCCGGUUAUUGGACGACCGCUCUACCUCCUGAGCUACUGCUGCCCCAGAUGGUAUCUUACAGUGUCAGCUGAGGAUGGCAAAGUUGUGACAGAAGGAUUUGUGGAAUACGUGUAUCCCAGCGUCCCAGGUCCACUAAGGUAGAGACUUACAUUUAUGUUAUUUCUUCCAACUUAGAGAACUGCUCAAAAGAAGUGUGCACAAGUGUGUUUAAAACCCUGGAUGUGGACUGGUUGAUCCAAGCUAAGUCUAAGAUAGAAACUUUUUUUUUCUUUUUUAGAGACUUCUGGACACCCUGACCUAGCUGAACAGGCUAAAUUUAAGUUAUUGUUGGUAGAAAUAAAAGGGAUAAUAAGCUAUUUUUGUGUGUGUGUGUGGCAUACGCCGUGUAACUUUGUCUAAGUAAGAUCCCCUUAGUUCUAAGAGCAUAUACUUUAUAAUCAAUAAAAUAAACCCCAUACUAAAGCCGAGAAUACGCCAGUCAAAUACAAUUUUUCAUACGGUUAAGUUCUAACUCUUUAAAUGUUCAUAUUAUAAGUUAUAACCUUUUAUGAUGGCAAUCUCACAGUAGUACAGACAGUAAAAAUAUCACAGUCUUCUUCUAUACUGUUCUAUAAGUAAUACAAGUUCAGGUGUUGUUGAAGGUCUCUUUGCUGCUAACACUUCUCAAAACUUUUGCUACUCAGUUGCCCCGAUGAAAUUUGAAAAAAAAUUGGCAGGACUGUCCCAGCAGAGAGGGCCAAUCCCCUUCUAAUUACCCCGUUCCCUUCCUUCAACGAAUUGCUCACCCACAGAGGAGUAGAGGGGCCCUUUUUUUUUUUUGUGCCUUCUGAGCGUCUGAAAAGGCUUCACCAGAGAGCUCACUUAUGGUAAGACAGGAGCGGAAGUAAGGAAGGAUGUGCUAAAGUGGAACAGACUCCAGCAGAAAAAGGCUGAGACUUCAUGAAAGGUAGUUCCCAUGUGGUUCCACUCAUUCAGUCAGUCGAAAAAUCUCCCAGCAGACUCUGAAAAAUCAUACUUUUUAUAACUAAAAGGAGACAAGCUGUACCAAACCAAGGCUUUCAUCCCAUCUCCUAUUUUUGACGAGGACUAUUUUGAGGGGAUUCUGGAGGUGAUUUUCACUUUUUCUUUUCUCCCCGUGAGCAAUCUUACCUCAGGACAGAACAGGAAAGUAAGCCGGUUGUGAAAAGUUUGACAUAGGUCUGAUGACAAACCCUCCUAAUUUAGCCUUAAGACCAGGCUACGGUUCAGUUAAAGCGAAGAAAAAAAGGCUUGUGAUUUAUAUUUUGGCAGAGCAGCUGCAGACUCACCUCUGCAAAUUUUCAGCUGUAAUUUCUUCCCUCUGCUCCAAUCUAUACGAGCAGCCGAAGCAUGGACAUUUGACCUCAGCCUGAUCACUGCUUCCCAGGUCCGAAUGAAUUAUAGAUGAUGAAAUUUCACAAUGAUUUAGUAAGUGGCAGAUGGGACAGUGGUGCUGGGUCAUAAAGCUGUAAUGAAGUAGAUGCUUUAGACCUUUCUCCAACACCAGUUUCUUCUCACAAGAUUAACGUAGGAGUGUUAAAUAGCCUGAAAUAUGGGGACACAGAUCAUCAUCAGACUUUGAUGAAACCACAGAGUAAAAAAAAAAAAACAGUAAAAAGAAAGAGAGAUCUAUUAAAUCUGAAAAGCAAAGAGGACAGAUGGGGGACAUAUUUUUUCAUGCAUCCACUGCAGUCGUGGAAAUCUCCAAACAUUUCCAGAAGAG
rnacentral:lncRNA from 1 species